GACGAACGCUGGCGGCGUGCUUAACACAUGCAAGUCGAACGGAAAGGCCCUGCUUUUGUGGGGUGCUCGAGUGGCGAACGGGUGAGUAACACGUGAGUAACCUGCCCUUGACUUUGGGAUAACUUCAGGAAACUGGGGCUAAUACCGGGUAGGAGCUCCUGCUGCAUGGUGGGGGUUGGAAAGUUUCGGCGGUUGGGGAUGGACUCGCGGCUUAUCAGCUUGUUGGUGGGGUAGUGGCUUACCAAGGCUUUGACGGGUAGCCGGCCUGAGAGGGUGACCGGCCACAUUGGGACUGAGAUACGGCCCAGACUCCUACGGGAGGCAGCAGUGGUGAAUAUUGCACAAUGGGCGGAAGCCUGAUGCAGCAACGCCGCGUGCGGGAUGACGGCCUUCGGGUUGUAAACCGCUUUCGCCUGUGACGAAGCGUGAGUGACGGUAAUGGGUAAAGAAGCACCGGCUAACUACGUG
rnacentral:rRNA from 1 species